AUUGAACGCUGGCGGCAUGCCUUACACAUGCAAGUCGAACGGCAGCGCGGGGCAACCUGGCGGCGAGUGGCGAACGGGUGAGUAAAAUAUCGGAACAUACCCUAGAGUGGGGGAUAACGUAGCGAAAGUUACGCUAAUACCGCAUACGAUCUAAGGAUGAAAGUGGGGGAUCGCAAGACCUCAUGCUCAUGGAGUGGCCGAUAUCUGAUUAGCUAGUUGGUAGGGUAAAAGCCUACCAAGGCGACGAUCAGUAGCUGGUUUGAGAGAACGACCAGCCACACUGGAACUGAGACACGGUCCAGACUCCUACGGGAGGCAGCAGUGGGGAAUUUUGGACAAUGGGGGGCAACCCUGAUCCAGCAAUGCCGCGUGAGUGAAGAAGGCCCUCGGGUUGUAAAGCUCUUUUGUCAGGGAAGAAACGGUGUUUCCUAAUACGGAAUGCUAAUGACGGUACCUGAAGAAUAAGCACCGGCUAACUACGUGCCAGCAGCCGCGGU
rnacentral:rRNA from 1 species